AGUUGCCUACGGGGCGCAGCAGUCGAGAAUCAUUCACAAUGGGGGAAACCCUGAUGGUGCGACGCCGCGUGGGGGAAUGAAGGUCUUCGGAUUGUAAACCCCUGUCAUGUGGGAGCAAAUUAAAAAGAUAGUACCACAAGAGGAAGAGACGGCUAACUCUGUGCCAGCAGCCGCGGUAAUACAGAGGUCUCAAGCGUUGUUCGUAAUCACUGGGCGUAAAGCGUGCGUAGGCUGUUUCGUAAGUCGUUUGUGAGAGGCUCGGGCUC
rnacentral:rRNA from 1 species